rnacentral:lncRNA from 1 species
AAGAAGAAAGGCUAGCGAAAGUUCUGCUUGCUUCCGUCUUUAGGAUGGGAUGGUUUUCAUCUCAAGCCUGAUUAAGUGAAAACAGAGACCCACAACCUGAAACCUCCCUUCCUGUGCUUCGGGUCCCAAGAAGCUCAGUGGAGGGCAGGUGCAUUGCUGAGAAUAAUGAAGAUGGAGAGAAGAGAACAUGCUUAUUAAGCACAUAUUAUGUGCCAAGCAUCAUAUUAGGUUUUGUGUAUAUAAUAUAUAUAUAAUAUAACAUAUAAAUAUGUAAUAUAUAAUAUAAAUAUAAUAUUUAUAUUAUAUAUUAUUGGUACUAUAUAUUUAAUUUAUAAUUUAUAUAUGUGUGUGUGUGUGUGUGUGUAUUAGCGCUUUCUUUUCUUCUGGCCACCCCACAGCAUCUGGAGGAUAUGGAAUUCCCAGGCCAGGGAUCAGAUCUGAGCUGCAGUUAUGACCUAUGUCGCAGCUGUGGCAAUACAGGCUCCUUAACCCGUGGUGCCGGGCCAGGGAUGGAACCUGCACCCCAGCAUUGCAGAGACACAGCCGAUCCUGUCGCUCCAUGGCGGGAACUCCUACGUUAGCGCUUGAAUCUUACUACCAACACCCUGACUCCCAGGAAAAUGAGACUCAACUCAGUUGAACCCUCGUUAAAGGUUUGAUCCAGGGCAUAUGGAGCAGGAUUUAAACUCAAGUCUGUGCGACUCUAAUUCCUGAGAUUUCUCACGAUCCCAAUUCUGCUUCCCACACGAGUUGUCUGGUUGGGUCUAAAAAUUGAGACUGAAGUAGAAAUUUAGAUCUUAGAGAAGCCCAGAGAAAUGGAUUCCUUCAAGUUUGCAUAAUGAAUAUACCACUUUCCAGGGCAUCGUUCUGCUGCUACACCUUGCCUCCCUGGAGCUGAAAAUUGAAUCUGUUUGUCAGCAUUGGAACCAACCUUCAGAUGGUGUAGAGAAAGUACCAGCAAACUGAAGUGCCAUUGUGAGGUUGACAUAUAUGGACCUGGGACCUGACAGUGGCUUUGCUGCAAGGUGUACAGUUUGCUCCUGUGACCUCUCUGGACUGCGAUGGUUGGUGAACACGCAACCAAAGCAACAACACAGGCGCAGUAACUCCUUCGUGGAGACUGCUUCCAUUUUCACAAUGUCCAGCUCCACGCUAGAGCUUCGGGGAAAGGGACCGAGGAAGUGACUGGUUCGCCAACUGAAACUGUAAGUAGAUCCUGACCAAACGCUUCCUUUUCCUGGAGGACAG